rnacentral:lncRNA from 1 species
UAUUUUGGCCAGGAGCUGAAGUUGGUUGUUUAGUAGUAGUAGUUUGAGUAGUGACCGAAGUAGUAGUCUGGUGUGUGGGUGCAAGAGUAGUUGGGGAAGAAUUAGGUGUGGUAAUUGGGGCAGCUGUGGUCUCUUGUGGAGCUGGGGAAGACGGUGGAGCUGGUGUAGUUGCAGAAGGUGUGGGUGGGACAGCUGUGGUCUCUGGUGGAGCUGAGGAAGAUAGUGGAGCUGGUGUAGUUGCAGAAGGUGUGGGUGGGGCAGCUGUGGUCUCUGGUGGAGCUGAGGAAGAUGGUGGAGCUGGUGUAGUUGCAGGAGGUGUGGGUGGGGCAGCUGUGGUCUCUGGUGGAGCUGAGGAAGAUGGUGGAGCUGGUGUAGUUGCAGAAGGUGUGGGUGGGGCAGCUGUGGUGUCUUGUGGAGCUGGGGAAUUCACUGGUGCUAAUGUAGCUACAGAAGAGCUUGUGUUAACAUUUUCUCUUGAAGAUAUGGUGGUGGCAUUCUGGGGAAGAAAAGUCACAUUUGGAAGGGUAGUAAUUUUGGUGGCUGGUGAGGAUUUGGGAAUUUGGGGGGGUUAUUAGGUGAAGGUGGAAGCUUAGGCCUACAGCGUUUGUGCAG